AGAGUUUGAUCAUGGCUCAGAACGUACGCUGGCGGCACGCCUAACACAUGCAAGUCGAACGAAGUAGCAAUACUUAGUGGCAGACGGGUGAGUAACAUGUGGGUAUCUACCCUUUGGCCUGGAAUAACACGAGGAAACUUGUGCUAAUACCGGAUAAGUCUUUACGGAGAAAGCUUUAUGCACCAUUGGAUGAGCCCGCACUUGAUUAGUUUGUUGGUAGGGUAAUGGCCUACCAAGACUAUGAUCAAUAGCUGAUUUGAGAGGAUGAUCAGCCACAUUGGGACUGAGACACGGCCCAAACUCCUACGGGAGGCAGCAGUGGGGAAUCUUGCACAAUGGAGGAAACUCUGAUGCAGCGAUGCCGCGUGAGUGAAGAAGGCCUUUGGGUUGUAAAGCUCUUUCGUCGGGGAAGAAAAUGACUGUACCCGAAUAAGAAGGUCCGGCUAACUUCGUGCCAGCAGCCGCGGUAAUACGAAGGGACCUAGCGUAGUUCGGAAUUACUGGGCUUAAAGAGUUCGUAGGUGGUUGAAAAAGUUGGUGGUGAAAUCCCAGAGCUUAACUCUGGAACUGCCAUCAAAACUUUUCAGCUAGAGUAUGAUAGAGGAAAGCAGAAUUUCUAGUGUAGAGGUGAAAUUCGUAGAUAUUAGAAAGAAUACCAAUUGCGAAGGCAGCUUUCUGGAUCAUUACUGACACUGAGGAACGAAAGCAUGGGUAGCGAAGAGGAUUAGAUACCCUCGUAGUCCAUGCCGUAAACGAUGUGUGUUAGACGUUGGAAAUUUAUUUUCAGUGUCGCAGGGAAACCGAUAAACACACCGCCUGGGGAGUACGACCGCAAGGUUAAAACUCAAAUGAAUUGACGGGGACCCG
rnacentral:rRNA from 2 species